rnacentral:rRNA from 1 species
AUGAACCAAACCAGCUCUAAGACUCGCUUCGAUGGUUCUCUUGAGCGUUAUAAAGCUCGUCUUGUGGCUCGUGGCUUUCAGCAGGAGCAUGGUCGUGAUUACAAUGAGACUUUUGCUCAUGUGGCCCAUAUGACCAAUGUUCGCACACUCCUCGCAGUGGCCUCUGUUCACCACUGGUCCGUGUCCCAGCUUAAUGUUAAGAAUGCCUUUCUUAAUGGUGAGUUGCGUGAGGAAGUUUAUAUGCAGCCACCACCUGGGUAUUCAGUUCCUGAUGGCAUGGUUUGUCAUCUUCGUCACUCUCUCUAUGACCUUAAACAAGCCCCCCGCACUUGGUUUGAGCGUUUUGCCUCGGUGAUCACUUCAGCUGGUUUUUCGCCAGUGCUCAUGAUCCAGCGUUGUUUGUCCACCUUUCUGCUCGUGGUCGCACUCUUCUUCUUCUAUAUGUUGAUGACAUGA